rnacentral:rRNA from 1 species
UACGAAGGGGGCUAGCGUUGCUCGGAAUCACUGGGCGUAAAGGGUGCGUAGGCGGGUCUUUAAGUCAGGGGUGAAAUCCUGGAGCUCAACUCCAGAACUGGCCUUUGAUACUGAGGAUCGUUGAGUUCGGGAGAGGUGAGUGGGAACUGCGAGUGUAGAGGUGAAAUUCGUAGAGUAUUCGCAAGAACACCGGUGGCGAAGGCGGGUCU